UUUUUGUAUGAGAGAUUAGCACGCCCUUUGUGAAGGAUGGAAGGGGUCCUAGUAGCCUUACAACAAACAAAUGGUUAGGCACUGCCAUCUACUUGGCAUUGGCAUCUAACCAUGAUCCUGU